rnacentral:rRNA from 1 species
UGGGGAAUAUUGGACAAUGGGCGAAAGCCUGAUCCAGCAAUGCCGCGUGAGUGAUGAAGGCCUUAGGGUUGUAAAGCUCUUUUACCAGGGAUGAUAAUGACAGUACCUGGAGAAUAAGCUCCGGCUAACUCCGUGCCAGCAGCCGCGGUAAUACGGAGGGAGCUAGCGUUGUUCGGAAUUACUGGGCGUAAAGCGUACGUAGGCGGUGACUCAAGUCAGAGGUGAUAGCCUGGAGCUCAACUCCAGAACUGCCUUUGAAACUAGGUCGCUAGAAUCACGGAGAGGUGAGUGGAAUUCCGAGUGUAGAGGUGAAAUUCGUAGAUAUUCGGAAGAACACCAGUGGCGAAGGCGGCUCACUGGACGUGUAUUGACGCUGAGGUACGAAAGCGUGGGGAGCAAACAGGAUUAGAUACCCAUGUAGUCCCUGAGCGGGCUGGCAAGGCGCAU